GAUAAAGUUAUUGACAUUGAAGAUUAGAUUGUUAAUAAAGUUAUAGACUGUAUUGGUGAUAAAGUUAAUAUCAUGGUUUAUAGUGGUGAUAAAUUUGAUACCGAGACAUACCAGUGAUGAUCACAGCUACUCAUUUGCAUUUGGGACAAGGAUGAGUGUGAUGAUGGUAAAGUUAUUGCCAUUGAAAAUUAUGAUGGUGAUAAAGUUAUUGACAUAGGAGAUCAGAUUGUUAUUAAAGUUAAAAGACAUUGUAGUGGUGAUGAAGUUCGUGGCAUUGAAGAUUAUAGUGGUGAUAAAGUUGAUACUGAGACAUACCAGUGAUGAUCACAGCUACUCAUUUGCAUUUUGGACAAGGAUGAGUGCGAUGGUGAUGGAGUUAAUGACAUUGAAGAUCAUGGUGGUGAUAAAGCUAAUGAUGUUAAAGAUUAGAUUGGUGAUAAAGAUGAUAUUGAGACAUGACAUUGAAGAUAAACUUUGUAUUGAACGUUGCAGUGAUGUUAAAGUUGAUCUUCAAGGGAAAGUGUUGAUGAUAACGUUAUUAAAAUUGAAGAGUUUAUUGUUGAUAAAUUUGAUGGCAAAGACAUAGGAGUGGUGAUCAAAAUCUUCUGGAAUCUGAUGAUGAUAAAGUACAGUAAGCAAGCCACAUUGAUAAACAAUCAAUUUGAGAAUAAAAAAAGUAAAUAAAAUAUGGCAGGACUGGCCCGUGUCUCAUAUUCACAUUAAUGAACCCAGAAGAGGCCACUAGGUCCUAGGGAGACUGACGUCACAUCCUAUUACGUGUAGAGUUGGCUCCACAAAUCACUCGCAUGUGUCACUUGUGAGUAAGCGAUUACAAAAGCACCUCCAGCGACGCUGACGGAUCCUACAUGGCCCACGUCCUGACAGAUACAUGGCUGAGAGACAAGGAACAACCUUUUCCACACGACCAAAAACAGAAAAAAAAAAAAGUUGGCAAGUACCUUUUCAACGAAAUCAUUUCCACCUGGGGGUUUUGUGUCGUUCCUGCAUAUCUGAAGGAUUACCAAAAAACCCUCACAAUAGGAGUUUUUUUCUUUGUCCUUGUAGUGAUUAGCUCAGACUUUCAGAUGCUUUGCAGUUUUUUUUUUUCAAGGUUUCUCUCCCUCGAACUACAGAGAGAAUUAUGAAAACACGAGGCUAGUGGGUUGCUAUUUUUCUUUGUGGCAGUAAGUUUAUAGUUUGCAAUUCUAUGUUUUGCUAUAAUUUUUUUCCAGGGUAUUUUGUUAUUUUCCCUUGUGUUAAUAAGUUUAUUCUUUGUAUUUCUAUAUUUUGCUAUACU